CAGCACUGGGGUUACCACAUUGAGCAAGGCAAGGAAGCUCCUCCUUUCCAGGAAGUUCCAUUCCAGUGGUGCAGACCAACAAUGAAAAAAAGUCAUAAUGUAACAUCAGCAUUUACUGUCAGAGCUGGAUGAUGCUGGCCUCCAAGUGGAGAAGGUCCACAGCAAAGCCCUCAUUUUGAUGAACACUGGAGGGGUCUCCAGCAGGCAAUUGGUCAAACCCAAGCUACCUGAACCUAACAGAAACUUUGAGAAGGUGUCUCAGCAUAUCGGAAUUGCCAAACUCGCUACGGUGGUGCUGGAGGGAAGCCGCCGUGGAGGAAGGAAGAACCCUGAGCAAGCAUGACCGGACAAAGCGUAGUUGAGGAGAGCCACAGAGGAGGACAGAUGUGGGAAGUGUCAUGGCAUUGUCAGGUUGCAGGAGGUUGAGAUGCGGGGCAUGAAGGGAAGCAUGGCUGGAGGAUGACUUCUGGAGUUGUGACAUAGUCAGUUGGGCCACUGGUCCUUGUUUUUAUGGUGAUGAGUUGAAUGGUGGAGGAACAGUGCCAAGGGAAAGUAAAAGUGCUUUUGGGGGCUCAUGGUACUUUUUGGAUGAGCUAGCACACAAUGAAAAGAUGUAGUGCCUGAAAGCAAAAUGUAAGUUCUCGGGAUUGAUGAUAUAAUGUGAUCCUCUCUUGCAAAAUUAUUUAUGGAUAUAACAUUCAUUCACUCAUUAUUUCACGUAAUGCUUUCCAAAUGUUUAUCAUACUGGAUAUAGAAUGGGGAGUGAAAGAUACACAGGCCCCACCCUCAGGGAGUACACAUAAUUCAUGUAUGUGAACAUCUUAUGUAAGCAUGCUGAGUUGUGCA